rnacentral:rRNA from 1 species
AGAGUUUGAUCAUGGCUCAGGACGAACGCUGGCGGCGUGCCUAAUACAUGCAAGUCGAGCGCGUGAACCUUCCUUCGGGAAGGGGAUCGAGCGGCGAACGGGUGAGUAACACGUGGGCAACCUGCCCGCAAGACUGGGAUAACUACGGGAAACCGGAGCUAAUACCAGAUAGUCGUUACCUCAUACGAGGUAAUGGGAAAGAUGGCUUCGGCUAUCACUUGCGGAUGGGCCCGCGGCGCAUUAGCUAGUUGGUAUGGGUAAUGGCCUACCAAGGCGACGAUGCGUAGCCGACCUGAGAGGGUGACCGGCCACACUGGGACUGAGACACGGCCCAGACUCCUACGGGAGGCAGCAGUAGGGAAUUUUCCGCAAUGGGCGCAAGCCUGACGGAGCAACGCCGCGUGAGUGAGGACGGCCUUCGGGUUGUAAAACUCUGUUCUUUCGGAAGAAUGUCAUCCAUUCAAAUAGGGUGGAUGAACCGACGGUACGGAAGCAGAAAGCCCCGGCUAACUACGUGCCAGCAGCCGUGGUAAUACGUAGGGGGCAAGCGUUGUCCGGAUUUAUUGGGCGUAAAGGGCGCGCAGGCGGCCUCUUAAGUCAGUUGUGAAAGGUCUCGGCUCAACCGAGGAAUGGCAUCUGAAACUGGGAGGCUUGAGUACAGGAGAGGAGAGUGGAAUUCUCGGUGUAGCGGUGGAAUGCGUAGAGAUCGGGAGGAACACCAGUGGCGAAGGCGACUCUCUGGCCUGUUACUGACGCUGAGGCGCGAAAGCAUGGGGAGCGAACAGGAUUAGAUACCCUGGUAGUCCAUGCCGUAAACGUUGAGUGCUAGGUGUUGGGGGCAUUACGUCCUCAGUGCCGAAGGAAACCCAGUAAGCACUCCGCCUGGGGAGUACGGCCGCAAGGCUGAAACUCAAAGGAAUUGACGGGGGCCCGCACAAGCGGUGGAGCAUGUGGUUUAAUUCGAUGCAACGCGAAGAACCUUACCAAGGCUUGACAUCCCUCUGAUCGGUCUAGAGAUAGGCCUUUCCCUUCGGGGACAGAGGUGACAGGUGGUGCAUGGUUGUCGUCAGCUCGUGUCGUGAGAUGUUGGGUUCAGUCCCGCAACGAGCGCAACCCUUAUCUUUAGUUGCCAGCAGGUGAAGCUGGGCACUCUAGAGAGACAGCCGAUGAAAGUCGGAGGAAGGUGGGGAUGACGUCAAAUCAUCAUGCCCCUUAUGUCUUGGGCUACACACGUGCUACAAUGGCUGGCACAACGGGAUGCAAGACCGCGAGGUUUAGCUAAUCCCUAAAAACCAGUCUCAGUUCGGAUCGUAGGCUGCAACUCGCCUACGUGAAGCUGGAAUCGCUAGUAAUCGCGGAUCAGCAUGCCGCGGUGAAUACGUUCCCGGGCCUUGUACACACCGCCCGUCACACCACGAGAGUUUGCAACACCCGAAGUCGGUGAGGGAACUUUUGACCCAGCUGCCGAAGGUGGGGCAAAUGAUUGGGGUGAAGUCGUAACAAGGUAGCCGUA